UGGGGAAUAUUGGACAAUGGGCGAAAGCCUGAUCCAGCCAUGCCGCGUGUGUGAAGAAGGUCUUCGGAUUGUAAAGCACUUUAAGUUGGGAGGAAGGGCAGUAAGCGAAUACCUUGCUGUUUUGACGUUACCGACAGAAUAAGCACCGGCUAACUCUGUGCCAGCAGCCGCGGUAAUACAGAGGGUGCAAGCGUUAAUCGGAAUUACUGGGCGUAAAGCGCGCGUAGGUGGUUCGUUAAGUUGAAUGUGAAAGCCCCGGGCUCAACCUGGGAACUGCAUCCAAAACUGGCGAGCUAGAGUAGGGCGGAGAGUGGUGGAAUUUCCUGUGUAGCGGUGAAAUGCGUAGAUAUAGGAAGGAACACCAGUGGCGAAGGCGACCACCUGGGCUAAUACUGACACUGAGGUGCGAAAGCGUGGGGAGCAAACAGG
rnacentral:rRNA from 1 species